rnacentral:lncRNA from 1 species
GCACACGCAUAUGUGUCCAGGUGCCUACGCAGGUGCCUGACCCUGGGCAAGUCGCUCCGUCAUGCGGACCUCAGUUUUCUCAUCUGUCCGACGAAGGAAUCCGGGCAGAACAUGAAUUCUCAGAACUGGUGGGACUUUCCAACCAGUUGCUUCUCAUGCAGAGGCAGAAAAAUGAGGGGAUCAACAGCCCAGGCCUCAGGGGCACCCUUCUUGGCCCUUACAGGAGAGAAACUGAGUCCGAGGGAUGUCAACAUGCCAAGUCCAUGGAAAUAUCAGUGGGCUGGAAUUCUAGCUGCCUGAAAGAAGACAUUCCUCACACAAGACCUCACAAUCAUAUCCAUGGAAUUAUAGCACUGGGCUCUCCAGAUGGUGCUACAGGAAGACCUCCAGAAAUUUGACAAGAGUAGAGAAACCAACAAAACCAACCGGAGAGAGAUGGUUUCAAACAAUCUGUCCCCCACCCCACCACUAUUCACACCUUUCACAAGGGCCCAGCCACAAAGCCAGUGCAACAUGACAUCAAUCAUCAGCAAAGUGGAGAUGGUUGUCCCAGUGGAGGGGGAUUCUUCGUGUUACGUAGAUAGGAAGCACGAUGCAAAAGUGUUGAAGCAGGAGUGUAAAGAAUAAUUAAAACACCUGCCCAAGACCCAAGCAAGGAUAGGAUUUCCCAGACAUUCGUGAGGGAGAAAAUGCCAUGUCCUUUCCUUCUGGUGUCACAUCAGAAUCUGAAGGCUGCUAGAGAAGGGAGAGAAACAUGAAAGUGAGUCCCAUGCUGAUUGUUGUUGAAAUACCUGGAAAGAAACUGGCAAAGACUAUCCAAGGGAUGCUAAGACAUGUCCGAACUUACAAAACAGUAGAACCUGAAUAGGAAUUUGAAGUUGUCUAUACUCUCCUCAGCCACACCCUGCCAUUUUACAGAUUGUCUUCUCUGGGGAAGUUAGCUGUCAUGUUGUGAGGAUACUCAAGCAGUUUAUAAAGAGGUUCAUGUCGCAAGGAAUGGAGGCCUCCUGCCAACAGCCAUGUAAAGGAGCCAUCUAGGAAAUAGAUUCUCCAGCCCCAGUCAGACCUUCAGAUGAUUACAGCCCCUACCAACCUUCUGACUGCGGUGGAAGGAAGGUUCCGGAACCAGAACCACCCAGGUUAAUGUGGGUAAGUCUCAUCCAAUCCUUUGAAGGCCUGAAGAACAAAGAGUGAGGUUUCUGGAAGAAGAAAAUUUUACCUCAAGCCUGCAAUGUAGAAAUUCUGCUUGAGUUUCCCGCCUGCUGGCCUGCCCUGUGGAAUUCGGAGUCAAGAAGGAGUCUUGUAAGCAUUAACUGAGAUAGUAUAUGAAGAGUGCUUUUGCACCGAGUGAACCUUCAAUCAACUGUACUAGUUUGUAUGCCUGGAAGAGCUGCUAUAUGGGAUCAGAAAGAAAAAUAAGGUGCAUACGCCAGAAAAAAAAUACUUGCAUAUGAGUACUAGGAGAUGCAUGACAAUGUUCACGGCAGCAGUAUUCAUGGCAGUGAAAAAUGAAAAGAACUGAAAUGCCCAUUGAUAAAAACGUCUACUUAUUUGUGUCAUCUUUGCACAGUGGAAUUGUGCGAGUGGAAAUGAUUGAUCUACAGCUAGGAGAAGCAGCAGAGCUCAAUCUCAAAAACAUAACGUUGUGUGGAAAAAGCUAACCUCAGAACACUUUGCGGCUCUAUCUUAGCAAACCAGGAGAGAAAUUCUCCUGAUGGCCUUGAAGAAGCAAACAGCCACCUGGUUAAGCCCCUGUGGAUAGUGCCAAGUGGCAGGAAAGUGGGAGCCACCUCUAGGACCUGAGGAUUAAAGUCAGUAAGAGCUGGGACCUCACUCAUGCAGACUCGAGGACAUGAAUUCGACCAACAACUUGAAUGAGCUUGGAAGUGGAUUCUUCCCUAGUCCAGUCUUCAGAAAUUAAGAAUGUUCCCAAAGAAUGAUGGAGACAUUUCAAAAGGAUACGGAAGCCAGAUUGUGGGCGCUUCUACUGGCCAACUCUGGGACAUCGUGGACAUCAAAAUAAAUUUGUAAUAAUAAAGGAUUAUAGCCUAUUAGUUAAAUCAGAAAAAUCUGAUUUAACUAAAUGAGUAGGAGGAAAAGAAAGCUCUUCCUUAUAUUAGAAAGUCAAUUAAUAAAUGCAGAAAGGAAUGAAAAAAUUAGAAAAGCCACCAUUUGGCAACCAUGGCAGGCAGAAUGGGGAGUAUGCCUCCAGACAGUAAUUCCUUUCAAACUGGUUUAUAGGAACUCACUGAGCUUGCUGAUCGACCUCUGAGAGGCAAAGUUUCUGAAUUAUGAAGUACUGAUUAUAUAAACUUAGACAGAGACAUGCUUCAUUAUUUAAUAGGACUGUGUCAAAAGCCUACUAUUAGGAUGAUGUGUUGGGUGUGGAACAGGGUCUCUUCCUGCCAGGAACACUGGUGAUUUCACUCCGUGUUCAGGCUGAUCUUUGAAGUUGAAGACAAGCAGAAGAAUCCUUCUAAAAUUUAGCCAUGCCCAUAGGCUGGGAGGGACACUGCUCCAUUCAGAGGCAGCAAAGCACAUUACUGUAUCUCCUAUAGAGCUUUGAGCAGUCCAGUGUACAUGGAGAAACUUAGUAAAUGUUGUUGAAUUAGUGAAUGAACAAAUCAAUGGACCAAGUCAGGGGUAAGUCUUACAUUUGUCAUCUAGGUGAUUAAGAAAGGAAAAAGUAUCUGUUUCAAGAGGAUUACAAUCUAACUGUACUCCAAUAGUAAAAUUUACUCUUUUGGAAUCUGAAGACA